CUGGGUUUCAGGCACCAUUGUGGUUCCUGGAGCCUCUGAUCUCAGGUACCACAGCAGUUCCUGAAGCUUUUGGUCACAGGCACCACCCACCACUGCUGGGCAAGGAGGAGGGGCUGAGUCACAAGUGCCACUGCAGUCCCUUGGAGGCCCUGGUCUCAAGUGCCAGUGUGAUUCCUGGAACCUCAGGUCAUGAGCUCUGCAGCCACUGCUGGGGGUCCUGAGGUCUUCGAUGCAGUCCCACUGCUGAGAGGGCUGGGAUUGAAGUGGAACUUCUCCAGGCCAGUGUGCUGACUUCUGACCAGCCUCAUCUGAAAGCACACCCUUUACAGACACAGACACCCUGAGGUACUGGGCCUCCAGCUUGCUCUAGGAGGACAGAGGACGACGGGUUAAGUUUGUUUGACAUAACUAGAAGGGGCUGUGCCUCUUCCCAGAAGAGCAAGGCCCAUUCAUGGCGAUUAGCAAGGCCCACCACUUCUAGCUGGCUUUUGCUUAUAGCAGCUGAGACACUGUUUCUUUCAGUAGAGGGAAAUCAAUGGGCUGGUGAUCCAACACUUCGGACUCCAAAGAAACCAGGACAGGUGACAAAGGUGCCCCAGGGUGAGACUCCUGCUUGCUGUGCCCAUGCCGGAGCUACGUCUUCUCUGAAAGCCAGCAGCAAAAGUGCUGACAUUUCGAUAUUUCCUUGUUGGUGUUCACUACUCCACAUCAAAGGGGGAACUCUGUCUGGGCAGGCCCCAGGCAUUCUGAGUGAAGAUGAGAGCAGAAGUGUCUAAAAGUGUAUGGUGGUGUCCCAUGAGACUGCAACAGAUGUGCUCUGACUGAGAUCACCCCAGCUGCUCUGAAUAAUGGUAGGAACAGAAAUAUCCAGAGCACAGAGCCUGCAACUGACAGACGUGGCUGGUGACUUUCUUUGACAGACUGUCUGAAAGCUUUCCUCUCUGAGUCUUCUUCUUUGACUUCAAUAAGGCUGGAGAGCUGAGUCAGUGGCCUUCAUCAAGCUCUUCCCUUGUCAGCCUCUCCGGCAACGGGAAGCUAGGCUGGGCCAGACAGUCCUGCCGCACCUGGAUCAGUGGUACAAAGCAGCAUUAAGCCUCUGGCAGGGCUGUGUGAGCCGGUGAUGGUACAGCCCUUGGUGAAAGAGCUCGUGGAAGACGUCUGUGAUAUCUUACCUAAGCUAUCUUCUUGGAAUAGAGGCGCAGGAGUGCUCCCAAAUACAUGACAACUCCACUCGUCACCGGGAGGCUGGAUGCUGAUGGUGCAUUUCCAUGGCUAUGGGGGCCCCUUUUCUGAUAGUCCUGCCUUUGGACACCUUUUGAUUCUCUUCCUCCUUCAACAUCGCCUCCCCUCACACACCUCGUGUCUUCAGCUCAGUCUCCUUUAAGCAAGGAUCUGGAGGGUGAUUGCAUGGCCCAGGCCUUGCAGAGAUGACUGCUUGAUAAAGUGGCAAAGGAGGAGGAAAGUCAGUUUGUCCAUGGAGGAGGGAUUUUUACCAUUCCAGAGUGGCUGGACACUUGGAGGUACAAGAAAGCAGCAGCAGCUUCUUCAGAGAGUGCCCUCGGGACCCUCAGAGAGAAGCACUGAGGCUGCCUAAGCUGAUAUGGCCUCUUAGGAGGCAUGUAACACCCAGGGGCAAAGGCACUGGAUCCAGGUGGAACUGCCUAGGAAAAGGGCCAACGAGAGGCACAGAGGUAGCGGGGUGAUCUCAGCCAGAAGGGGAACACAAGUGUGGCUGGGGCAGGGCAGGGCAGGAGCGCAGCUUGCUGAGGAUGUUGCCCAGGAAGGGCAGUUUGUUCACUGUCUGAUCCUGGGGAUAUAGACUCAAUUUGGGGGGCUCUCCUAGGUAACUGCUCCUUCAUGGUGAACCAUGUGCCAUUCCCCCAGAAGGUGGUAACACAGCAUUGGAACAUGCGAUAGAAAAGUGCACUAGCUAAGCACGCAUCAGAGAAGGGCAUAAGGAAGAAAUGCCAAGGCAUGGGGCGAGGCCCAGAGGCCAAACCUCAGCAGGACUUUCUGGCGCUUCCUGACAGCCUCCUGCUGGUCGCAGGUGUUUGGCACUAAACGGAUCUGGUGGUUUGAUGAGACUGUUCAUGACUGAAUUCCAAGAGCCUGCAUAACGGUCACUGCCAAGUCACCGUGUCUGCAGGCACCACAGUGCCUGACUUGAGGGCAGGGCCAUAGGCAAGCUGUGUUCAGGGGUCUGCUAGUCCUUUUCCCGAGUCAGCCAGAGCAGGAGAACAGCCUAGCCCUGCCAGGGUGGGGGCCUGGCUUGUGGAAGGUUGGGGUCGAGAGAUGUGUUGGCGAGGCGAGGGGUCAUCUCUGUCUCACAUGGUUACUGUGUGCCCAGUGUGGGAUGGCUGCAGCAGGGCAUGUGCUAAGGUGGGGGCAGGGGGAGAGGUGAAUUUACCCCAGCUUCUUCCUUUCAGGCAACCACCACGGAUGCCCCCAGGUAACUCCUACCACCUACCCCCACCCCAUCCAUGCUGGUAGGUGAAGGCUUGGAACACCACCUCCUCCAGAGGCCACUCGAGCUCCUCUCCAGUUCCUGGAGUCACACACACCUUUUCUGUGGCCACUCUGGGAAGGCGAGUGUCACGAGCAUCACCAGCUGGACUCAGAAGGUUUCUGAGGCAGAGACGUGGUUACUGUACCACAACACAUCCUCUCCCGGCAGGCAGUUUCUGUUCACUUAUUUUUACAAAUUUGGUAAAACAGUGUUUAAGUCACAGGUGGUAGUGGCCCAGUCAGAAUCUGAACCCAGGUUGAUUCCAGAGCUCACGUGUUCAACCACCAGACGGCGGUACCUCCUCAACAGGGCCCAUCAUGCGUUACCAUUUUUUUUUUUUAAAGAUUUUAUUUUUUCCUUUUUCUCCCCAAAGCCCCCCGGUACAUAGUUGUGUAUUCUUCGUUGUGGGUUCUUCUAGUUGUGGCAUGUGGGACGCUGCCUCAGCGUGGUCUGAUGAGCAGUGCCAUGUCCGCCCCCAGGAUUCAAACUAACGAAACACUGGGCCGCCUGCAGCGGAGCGCGCGAACUUAACCACUCGGCCACGGGGCCAGCCCCCAUGCGUUACCAUUUUUGACACCUACUACAGUUACAUAUCCAUAAUGAACACAGCCUCGGCCUAUGAGAAGGUCUUCUUUGGCUCAACUCAUCAGUCAACCUUUGGCCAGACUGGGCUCCAGUCUCUCAGAGAAGGUAGGACAGGGCCUGCAAUUGGUGACACAUCCCUAUGAGGCAUCUCUCCUCAGUAUGAGCCUUGCAGCAAACCGUGCAUCUGUGUGAGAUCUUCUCCAGGUACACGGACACCAGAUGCACAUCAGAUGGGUGCUGGAUCUUUCACAGCAAACCUUAUGCCCCAAGGGCACGAAUAUCUCUUGUAACAAUUCCAUAAACCAGCUUUCAGGGUCCCAGCUGAAAUGAACAACUUACCGAUAUUAAGUUUUCUAGUCCACAAGAGUGUGGUACAACUUUCCCUAUUUUGGGGUAUUUUAAAAAAUCUUUCUCUCAGAUAAUGUUUUGUAGCAGGGUUCCAAAAAUUACAGCUCAUGGGUCAAAUUUGGCCCACAGCCUAUUCUUGUAAUGCCAAUGAGCUUAAAAUGGUGUUAACAUUUUAAAAAGGCUGUAAAAACCAAACAAAACAGAAAAACAGAAGAAUAUGCAACAGAGACCAUACAUAAACUGCAAAGCGUAUAACAUUUCCUAUCUGGUCCUUCACAGCAAAAGUUUGCCAAUCCCUGUUCUGUACUUUUUGGUGCAAAGGUCUUGUACAGUAUUUGAUAAUUUAUUACUGGUACUAUAUGAGGUUUUUAAAAUGAUAUUGUAGAUGCUAUCUUUUAAAUUUUAGUUUUCAGUUGUGUACUGGUAGCAUAUAGAAUAUGCAAUUGGCUUAUACAUAUUGAUCUUGUAUGCUGGAACGUUGCUAAAUUCACUCCAUCCUUCCGUUAGUUUGUAGAUUUCUUAUGAUUUUCUACAAACUCAUUCAUAUUUUCUGUGAAUAAAGAGAGUUUUACAUCUUC
ensembl:lncRNA